rnacentral:rRNA from 1 species
UAGGGAAUCUUCCACAAUGGGCGAAAGCCUGAUGGAGCAACGCCGCGUGAGUGAAGAAGGGUUUCGGCUCGUAAAGCUCUGUUGUUAAAGAAGAACACGUAUGAGAGUAACUGUUCAUACGUUGACGGUAUUUAACCAGAAAGUCACGGCUAACUACGUGACAG